rnacentral:siRNA from 1 species
GGGAAUUCAAGAAACUGGAAAUGC